GAUGAACGCUGGCGGCGUGCCUAAUACAUGCAAGUCGAGCGAACAGACGAGGAUCUUGCUCCUCUGACGUUAGCGGCGGACGGGUGAGUAACACGUGGAUAACCUACCUAUAAGACUGGGAUAACUUCGGGAAACCGGAGCUAAUACCGGAUAAUAUAUUGAACCGCAUGGUUCAAUAGUGAAAGACGGUUUUGCUGUCCCUUAUAGAUGGAUCCGCGCCGCAUUAGCUAGUUGGUAAGGUAACGGCUUACCAAGGCAACGAUGCGUAGCCGACCUGAGAGGGUGAUCGGCCACACUGGAACUGAGACACGGUCCAGACUCCUACGGGAGGCAGCAGUAGGGAAUCUUCCGCAAUGGGCGAAAGCUUGACGGAGCAACGCCGCGUGAGUGAUGAAGGUCUUCGGAUCGUAAAACUCUGUUAUUAGGGAAGAACAAAUGUGUAAGUAACUAUGCACGUCUUGACGGUACCUAAUCAGAAAGCCACGGCUAACUACGUG
rnacentral:rRNA from 1 species